CGCGAGACCGGAGAAAUCUUGUGGGAAUUCAGCGGCACCAUCCGCUAAGGCUAAAUACUCCUGAGAGACCGAUAGUGAACUAGUACUGUGAAGGAAAGGUGAAAAUAACCUCGAACAGAGGAGUGAAAUAGAACCUGAAACCGUGUGCUUACAAGCGGUAGGAGUCCCGAAAUGGGAUGACUGCGUGCCUUUUGCAUAAUGAGCCUACGAGUUACUCCUCUCUGGCAAGGUUAAUUCCGAUGACGGAAGAAGCCGAAGCGAAAGCAAGUCUGAAUAGGGCGUAUAGUCAGAGGGGGUAGACGCGAAACCUUGUGAUCUACCCAUGACCAGGUUGAAGUUGCCGUAACAGGUAAUGGAGGACCGAACCGAUAAGCGUUGAAAAGCUUCCGGAUGAGUUGUGGGUAGGGGUGAAAGGCUAAUCAAACUGGGAAAUAGCUCGUACUCCCCGAAAUGUUUUUAGGAACAGCCUCGAGGUUGAGUGUUAUAGAGGUAGAGCUACCGAUUGGACUAGGGG
rnacentral:rRNA from 1 species